rnacentral:misc_RNA from 1 species
GUAAGAAAUUUAUUCACUGAUAAAUGGUGUGGAAAAAGGGAAGAACUAAGAGUAAGAAAUUUCUGCAGACAUUUUCUUUUUAUAGAAAAGAAAAGUUGUUAAGAAAGGAGAAAUGCAUAAUUGGAAGGAGGAGGAUGAGGUUGCCGUUGCCUACUACAGAAGCGAUUAAGAAAUGAAACUCUAGUUCUGCUGGAUAUUUUCUCAUGAAACUCCUUAGAAAAUCAUAUAAAAAAGAUCAGUGGAAUGCCUACAUGUUGAUGAAAAUUAUUCCAAAAAAUGUAAAUUGAAAACUUCAUGU